rnacentral:rRNA from 1 species
GACGAACGCUGGCGGCGUGCUUAACACAUGCAAGUCGAACGGAAAGGCCCUGCUUUUGUGGGGUGCUCGAGUGGCGAACGGAUGAGUAACACGUGAGUAACCUGCCCUUGACUUUGGGAUAACUUCAGGAAACUGGGGCUAAUACCGGAUAGGAGCUCCUGCUGCAUGGUGGGGGUUGGAAAGUUUCGGCGGUUGGGGAUGGACUCGCGGCUUAUCAGCUUGUUGGUGGGGUAGUGGCUUACCAAGGCUUUGACGGGUAGCCGGCCUGAGAGGGUGACCGGCCACAUUGGGACUGAGAUACGGCCCAGAGUCCUACGGGAGGCAGCAGUGGGGAAUAUUGCACAAUGGGCGGAAGCCUGAUGCAGCAACGCCGCGUGCGGGAUGACGGCCUUCGGGUUGUAAACCGCUUUCGCCUGUGACGAAGCGUGAGUGACGGUAAUGGGUAAAGAAGCACCGGCUAACUACGUG